rnacentral:rRNA from 1 species
AUUGAACGCUGGCGGUAUGCUUAACACAUGCAAGUCGAACGGUAACAGGCCUUCGGGCGCUGACGAGUGGCGGACGGGUGAGUAACGCGUGGGCAACCUGCCCCAUACAAAGGGAUAGCCACUGGAAACGGUGAUUAAUACCUUAUAAGUCGGUAGUCUCGCAUGAGACAGCCGACAAAGAUUUAUCGGUAUGGGGAUGGGCCCGCGUUUGAUUAGCUAGUUGGUGAGGUAACGGCUCACCAAGGCGACGAUCAAUAGCCGACCUGAGAGGGUGAUCGGCCACACUGGAACUGAGACACGGUCCAGACUCCUACGGGAGGCAG